UUGGUGCGUGGUCGGUACCUAAAGUGAAACUGCUAUGCAUCUUUGCCCACAUCAUCUAGACCCCACUGAUUUGCAUGUAAUCAGAGAAAGCCCCAAUAUUCUGAGGACUUCUUAACCGACUGGUCACACUCUGUGCAGAAGUAACUCCAAAUCAGGACACAGGACAGACAUGUGGGCUCCUGCUCAUCUCCUGGGGCUCUUGUUGCUCUGGAUCCCAGGUUCCAGAUGUGACAUCCAGAUGAUCCAAUCUCCUUCUCAGACUGCAUCACUAGGAGACACAGUAACUAUCAAGUGUCAAGCCAGUCAGAACAUUAAUAAUGAAUUAAA